CAAAUUAGAGCUUGUUUAAAAAGUAUCUUACUUACAUUAAGAAGUUAGUUGUGUAAAUCAAUUUAAUUUGA
rnacentral:tRNA from 1 species